rfam:Triticum urartu cultivar G1812 contig914926, whole genome shotgun sequence.
CUUGUACUCCCUCCGUUUGGAAAUACUUGUCAUCAAAAUGGAUAAAAGAGGAUGUAUCUAGACGUAUUUUAGUUCUAGAUACCUCUCUUUUUAUCCAUUUUGAUGGCAAGUAUUUUUGAACGGAGGGAGUAGUAC